rnacentral:rRNA from 1 species
UAGGGAAUCUUCGGCAAUGGACGGAAGUCUGACCGAGCAACGCCGCGUGAGUGAAGAAGGUUUUCGGAUCGUAAAGCUCUGUUGUAAGAGAAGAACGAGUGUGAGAGUGGAAAGUUCACACUGUGACGGUAUCUUACCAGAAAGGGACGGCUAACUACGUGCCAGCAGCCGCGGUAAUACGUAGGUCCCGAGCGUUGUCCGGAUUUAUUGGGCGUAAAGCGAGCGCAGGCGGUUAGAUAAGUCUGAAGUUAAAGGCUGUGGCUUAACCAUAGUACGCUUUGGAAACUGUUUAACUUGAGUGCAAGAGGGGAGAGUGGAAUUCCAUGUGUAGCGGUGAAAUGCGUAGAUAUAUGGAGGAACACCGGUGGCGAAAGCGGCUCUCUGGCUUGUAACUGACGCUGAGGCCCGAAAGCGUGGGGAGCAAACAGGAUUAGAUACCCUGGUAGUCCACGCCGUAAACGAUGAGUGCUAGGUGUUAGACCCUUUCCGGGGUUUAGUGCCGCAGCUAACGCAUUAAGCACUCCGCCUGGGGAGUACGACCGCAAGGUUG